UACGUAGGGUGCAAGCGUUAUCCGGAAUUAUUGGGCGUAAAGAGCUCGUAGGCGGUUUGUCGCGUCUGCUGUGAAAACUGGGGGCUCAACCCCCAGCCUGCAGUGGGUACGGGCAGACUAGAGUGCGGUAGGGGAGAUUGGAAUUCCUGGUGUAGCGGUGGAAUGCGCAGAUAUCAGGAGGAACACCGAUGGCGAAGGCAGGUCUCUGGGCCACUACUGACGCUGAGAAGCGAAAGCAUGGGGAGCGAACAGGG
rnacentral:rRNA from 1 species